rnacentral:rRNA from 1 species
GCGGCGCACAUAAGACAUGCAAGUCGAACGAACUUAACCAUUAGUUUACUAUUGGAGCGGUUAGUGGCGGACUGGUGAGUAACACGUAAGCAACCUGCCUAUCAGAGGGGAACAACAGUUAGAAAUGACUGCUAAUACCGCAUAUGCCUUGAGUAUCACAUGAUACAAAAGGGAAAGGAGCAAUCCGCUGAUAGAUGGGCUUGCGUCUGAUUAGAUAGUUGGUGAGGUAACGGCCCACCAAGUCGACGAUCAGUAGCCGGACUGAGAGGUUGAACGGCCACAUUGGGACUGAGAUACGGCCCAGACUCCUACGGGAGGCAGCAGUCGGGAAUAUUGCGCAAUGGAGGAAACUCUGACGCAGUGACGCCGCGUGCAGGAAGAAGGUUUUCGGAUUGUAAACUGCUUUAGACAGGGAAGAAACAAGACAGUACCUGUAGAAUAAGCUCCGGCUAACUACGUGCCAGCAGCCGCGGUAAUACGUAGGGAGCAAGCGUUAUCCGGAUUUAUUGGGUGUAAAGGGUGCGUAGACGGGAAAUUAAGUUAGUUGUGAAAUCCCUCGGCUUAACUGAGGAACUGCAACUA